rnacentral:pre_miRNA from 1 species
AACAUACUCCCUCCGUUCGGAAUUACUUGUUUCAGAAAUGGAUAUAUCUAGAACUAAAAUACAUCUAGAUACAUCCAUUUCUACGACAAGUAAUUCCGAACGGAGGGAGUAGAAG